rnacentral:rRNA from 1 species
CGCGUGGAUAUCUGCCUAUCGGCGGGGGACAACUACGGGAAACCGUAGCUAAUACCGCAUACGACCUACGGGUGAAAGUGGGGGACCUUCGGGCCUCACACCGAUAGAUGAGUCCGCGUCUGAUUAGCUAGUUGGUAGGGUAAAAGCCUACCAAGGCGAUGAUCAGUAGCUGGUUUGAGAGGAUGAUCAGCCACACUGGAACUGAGACACGGUCCAGACUCCUACGGGAGGCAGCAGUGGGGAAUUUUGCACAAUGGGGGAAACCCUGAUGCAGCGACGCCGCGUGCGGGAAGAAGGCCUUAGGGUUGUAAACCGCUUUCAGCAGGGAAGAAGAGAUGAGUGUUAAUAGCAUUCUGAUUUGACGGU